rnacentral:rRNA from 1 species
AUUGAACGCUGGCGGCAGGCUUAACACAUGCAAGUCGAACGGGUGGCGGACGGGUGACUAAUGUCUGGGCAACUGCCUGAUGGAGGGGGAUAACUACUGGAAAUAGUAGCUAAUACGGCAUACUAUCAGAUGUGCCCAUAUGGGAUUAGCUAGGUGGUGGGGUAACGGCUCACCAAGGCGACGAUCCGUAGCUGGUCGGAGAGGAUGAUCAGCCACACUGGAACUGAGACACGGUCCAGACUCCGACGGGAGGCAGCAGUGGGGAAUAUUGGACAAUGGGCGCAAGCCUGAUGCAGCCAUGUCGCGUGUGUGAAGAAGGCCUUCGGGUUGUAAAGUACUUUCAGCGGGGAGGCGUUACCCGCAGAAGAAGCACCGGCUAACUCCGUGCCAGCAGCCGCGGUAAUUC